rnacentral:rRNA from 1 species
ACGUAGGGGGCAAGCGUUGUCCGGAUUUACUGGGUGUAAAGGGUGCGCAGGAGGGCUUUUAAGUUAGUGGGGAAAUACCCGGGCUUAACUUGGGGGGUGCAUUUAAUACUGGAAGGCUAGAGUGCAGGAGAGGGAAGCGGAAUUUCUAGUGUAGCAGUGAAAUGCGUAGAUAUUAGAAUGAACACCAGUGGCGAAGGCGGCUUUCUGGACUGUAACUGACACUGAGGCACGAAAGUGUGGGGAGCAAACAG